rnacentral:rRNA from 1 species
CUACGGGUCGCAGCAGUGAGGAAUAUUGCACAAUGGGGGGAACCCUGAUGCAGCAACGCCGCGUGGAGGAUGACGCAUUUCGGUGUGUAAACUCCUUUUAUAUGUCAAGAAAAUGACGGUAGCAUAUGAAUAAGCACCGGCUAACUCCGUGCCAGCAGCCGCGGUAAUACGGAGGGUGCAAGCGUUACUCGGAAUCACUGGGCGUAAAGGACGCGUAGGCGGGUUGGAAAGUCAGGUGUGAAAUCCUACAGCUUAACUGUAGAACUGCACUUGAAACUUCUAAUCUAGAGUAUGGGAGGGGGAGAUGGAAUUAGUGGUGUAGGGGUAAAAUCCGUAGAUAUCACUAGGAAUACCUAAAGCGCAGGCGAUUUCCUGGAACAUUACUGACGCUAAGGCGUGAAAGCGUGGGGAGCAAGCAGGAUUAGAUACCCGGGUAGUC